UUUUUUAUUUGUUUCUGUUUUCUAUUAUUUUGUAAUUUUAGGGCUUUAAUAAAAAACCAAAACAAUCUCAAAAUUCAUGAAACUGCUCAAGGCUACUAUUUGGAAUAAUUCCAACAGUAAACAUUUUAGUUCAUGAAUAUUUGGACAUUUAAAAUAUUAUAUAGCAUUCAAAUGCCCAAAUGCAAAUAGCAUAUGAGUUAAUUCAGUGACCUUAAGAUGACCUAGAAAAUUGUGAACCAAUUUUGUCAGAUGUUCUAACCCAAGACAAAAAUGAUGGACAUUUUAGAAGGGCAUUUCAGGUUCAUUGAAAAUGAUUUUAGUAAACCCUAGUUGGUUUCAAAGGGGGUGCUGGGGGUUCUGUCAUCCCCAUUUCAACUUUCUGUGAAAAGUAAUCAUGAUUCACACAUGAAGGGCUAGCCUAGUGCAUACCAGAACUAGGGAUGUGACAACUGGCCCCUACUAAACAAGAAUCUCGUCCCGAGAUUCAAGCGUAGGGUAAGACGACAGAGGGACACCAGCUAACACCAUCUUCAUGAUCCAGAUGUCUUUCUCGAGGAUGUUGAUUCAUUGCAUCACCUUGAUCUCGACGUCUUGAUUUGAGAACUACAUCCAACAUGACAACGAGUAGAAAGGGAGAAUUUUAGAAGAAUCGAUCUUCCUGAGGUUCGAGCAGCUUAGGACCAUCUUAAUGGUCACAAGAUCAAUUCACGGAAUGAGACAUAGAAACACCUCUGGAACUGAGAGGCAAAACAUGCAUCAGGAGGGACGGAAGAAACAGUUGGACAAGGGUUUCAAGGUAGCGAGGAAAAAUUGCCAUGAUUCCAUAACGGGGCACCUUGGGAGGGGUGACUCGUAGAAAUAUCCCCUUAAGUGGCAAAAGAAUUACUUUUGAUUCAGAGAUCAUUGAAAUUCUCUAUACCAGCCUAAGGCAAUUCCCAAACGAUCGUUUGAAGGAGUUCGGAGAAAUGGCAUACUCAGUUCGGAAGGAAACUAGAGUUACAAAACAACUCAGCAAGCGGAGAACACAUUCCAGAUGAUGUCGAGGAUAUAACCUAGUGACUGAGUGUGCUCUCAAGAACUUGAGCAUUUCCGUAUUCAUCAAGGUUUUACCAACAUCCGUGGCAAGGAUCCUGGCAACACGACAUCCUACCAUGAUGACUAGUGAUGGAAGAUGCAGAUGCAAAGGAAGACAACACUUUCUCAGAUUUGUCCUUAGCAAUGCCAAGGAACAAAACAUGGAUGAUCGACCGAGAGACAUUUAGCACUCCGCUUCUAAUGUUCUCCUUGAUGUACCAGCUUAACCCAAUACCGUUCGGUAUCUGGAACAUCAGGUAAAGGUCUGACUUCGGGAGCUCAAGGAACCCAUAAGGAACAACUUAUGUUCAAAUUCAUACCAACUCCUCAUGGAAGAAUGGCCAAAUUGCUGACUCAAGAUACUACAAUAAGAGAUCUCCCGGAUAAGUGUGUUGGCCAUGACAUGCACUUAACGGUUCAAAAGACCAAUAUUAUAAUUCUUGGGAACGUCCCAACCAUCAUAUCUGCCUGAGAUUCGGAUUUGCUUGGUGUCAGGAUAUUCCAGACUCAGCUUGUCUGGAAGGAAAGUUCGCAACACAAAUCGACGAGAUGACGUUGCGAGAUUCUCAGGAAACGGACUACGGUAGUAAGCUCCAAAACAUGAGCUGGUUCUGCUACACACAUGUGAGCACGCUGUCCCAGACAAGCAUGACCAUGUAGCAGUCUUAUAAUAAAACACUACCGAGUUCAUGUGGGGAACCAUCAUUGAGGAUAUCAAAGUCCUUGCAUAAGGCAUGCUCUUAAGAAGGAACUUCUUCUCCUUGAACAAGUCAUUCAGUGGCUUGGUGUACUAGGAGAUACAUAUGGAAUGGAGGUAGCGAGCCUGUCAAACCAUAGCAUACUUCGUACAUGAUGAAUGACUUGGGAUGGUACCAGAGGAAACAAAAACAAUCUUUCUCGAACUCACGGUGGCAACUUGCACCAAAUGCACAUGAAUUCUAGGAAGUCACUUCUUCCAUCCAAGCAUAAGCUUCAUGAACGGAACACGAAGGCAUUGCUUACAAAGUUUCCAACACUAGGUUGAUGUUCAACAUGAAUCAUGGGGGAGACAAAAUGCUGCUGAUGGGCUCAACAGCAACUCAUCGGAAUUUCCAUAUCACUGGACUUCCACCAUCAGGUGAACACGGUGAUAGCAUUGGUCAGACCAAAAGAUGUAAUGGUGUAUGCUCGGGGGAUCAACCACGAGUAAGACAACAUUACGAACAUCGUUGGUUCUGAUUUGACUUGACGAUAGCCCAUACUCAAGUCAAAGUUUUGUCAAGGCAAUAGAUCCAACAACUGAUCACGAGGACCAAUCGAUGGAGAUAUCAUCUUUCUUCAACACACACACACACACACACAAAAAGAUAUCCCUUAACAUGAACUAAGUCAGACAAGCUUUUAUCUUCCAACUCUCCAAGUUGUUGUUUGGCUUAACCAACUAGCUUAGGGGUAUCCAACACAGAUUCUUGGAGAAUGGGUGGUUUGGAGGAAAACCUACAUGAUCACGAACUCAACAUAGUGGUCAGGUGACAACCUGGUAAUACUUUCGAGAAGAUAUUCGGAACAUCAUGAACCACCAAUAUGUUACUAAGCUCGAGAACAAUCUUGCUUUUCAGAGCAACACGAUAUGAUCAAAUAAGCAAGGGAUUGAAUAAUCCUAACUCAUUGAUCGAAGAGUGCACCAGAAAUAAGGACUAGGUAGCACAAUCUAUCUUAGAAUGAUGAUUCAAUAACCAACACGCUAAGAAUGAGAAUAUUGUCCAUUUACUACCAAGCAACUAGUUGCUAGGAGUAUUGAUUUCACACAUCACGGUUCACUUGUCGGUAUUUCAGUUGCAACAACACGGAACCGAGGAGCGAAUGAUGAUGGCGAGAAUUAUCACUGCAUCAAGAAUUCAUAAGAGUUGGUGCAAUUAUCAUGACAUUCCUGACAUGAAGAGGGCAAUACUUCAGGGUAAAACAGAACCAAAAUCUGGAUUGGCAUUUUGAUCUGCGAAAUACAACUACUUUGACCCAAUCCUAGAUAUGGAUGAGGUACUGGAGUUUGUUUCUCCUAGUCAUUCUGAAAUAGAAUGGCUUGACGGACCACUAGAGUAAUAGGCAUCGAGAAACACGAUUGCCAACUACUCCUUACUAUCAAUUGACAGCCGAGGGCCAGAAAAUAACUAAAGAGGGACAACUCAAAGGAACAUAUAAUUUUCUGAGUUAUGGAGGCAUGGAUUAGCAUGUCGAAGGAGUUCAACAUAUUUCUUCCAGAUAACCCAUGCAGAAAGGUUGAACUGGCAGAGUCACAAUAUAGAAUGGAGAACUCAUCGAGAGCAGUCCUGUUGUGAUCUUUUGAUCCAACAAACUUCUGCCAUAAGUGGUUCAUAGUAUUUGGAAGAAGGACUUACCACGGACCUUGAGGACUAUCGCAAAGGUUACUAAUAUCCUAAAGGUACGAGGAACACUAUCAACACGAGGUAAGUAGAGUGAAUCUUGGGUCAAGAACCCAGGAGUAGAAUACCUACUACUAAGUAGCAUCAUGGGAUGCUUUCGAGAGUAAUGGCCAGAAUCAUCACACCGGGAACACAAAACAUGGCUAGAUUACUAGGUGACUCCCUAAAACACCUGGGUCAUAAUAAUAGCUCCAACAUAUAUGUCGAGGCAAUAGAGUACCUCAACUCACCGAUUAGUGUGAUUAAUCUGGCCCAAAUGGACAUCGGGAAACAUGGAGGAAUGAUUGCAAGUGCAUCAGACUAUCUAGAAACCUGGGAUGACUCAGACAGCAUAACGGCUGUAAAUGCUCAAAAUGAUUUGAGACAUCCUGCAAAAUGGUGGCAUAACCACUCAGAAGCACAAUAUCAAGGUUCCGAGACCAACUAUGAACACAUGGAAGUAGAAACUGAACUGGGGCUUAAAUCCAUCAAUCCUAUAAGUCUCUAUCAUAGCAACUCGUCAUCCUGAUAGAUAGAUGAGAAAGCCUAGUUCUUAAUACCCGUAGAAAAGAAGUGGAUGACUCAGAUCAGAAGGGCAUGAGAUAUAAGGAGUAAAAAGAGCCUUACGUUCCCUUCCCCAAUCAAUUCCCUUACAUAACUAAAGCAUUUCUAGACACAACUUCGACCAGUUUGGCUUGGUAAUCCUACAGGCAAUCAGGCUCUGAUACCAAAGCUGUCAGGACCUCGAUUCCAAGUCACAUCGAUCUAGCCGGUAACACCUCAUAUCACUUUGCGGCCUCACGCACGGUAUUCCCACGGGUGUCGCCUUACCAUGGCCCGGGACCGUUUGCGCCUUUUGGCUCACGUAUAUGAUAGUGUCACUAGCAUCCAUAUGACAAAGAACCCAGGCCGACAUGACUAGUCAUGAACCCAAAGUGGCACUAACUUACGGGGACAGGCAUACAUGAAUCAACAUCGAGCAUGUCGGUCAGCAGCGUGUGAAUCCGGGCUCUAGCACUGGACUAACAGGACUCCGGUGAACCGGGCUGUAGCAGGCUAGGCAGGACUCCAGAUGUCACCGCGUGACAUUUCCCCGAAGGGACAUACACAGGAACGAAGUGAAUCACAUGCCGGCCAGUCAAGUGUUCCGGAGCAGUAGUGCUGGGCUAGCAGGACUCUGGUGAACCGGGCUGUAGCGGACUACUAUGGCUCAUGGAAGCACAAGACUACAUUUCCCCAUAAGAGAGGCUACCAAGGAUAAACAACUAGGUCGUCGGAUCCCACACAUACCAAGCAUUUCAAUCAUACACACAAUAUGCUCGAUAUGUGUAAAUACAACAUGGCAUCACAACAAAACUCUACGACUGAAAGUAUUUAUUCAUUAGGCUCCGAGGAGCCAAGUAUUACAAACAUGGGUCUCAUGACCCCAACAUACAGAGCAUACAAACAAUUGCGGAAGCUUAACUUGUCUGAGUACAGACAACUACAAAUGAAGAAGGCUGAGAAGCCUGACUAUCUACAAGACCCUGCUGAGGGCACAAGAUCGUAGCUGAGGUAACAAGCUAAACAUCGAAGUCCAUGCGGAAACUACUAACAAGACUGACGUCUCUCUGCAAAAUCAUAAAAUAGGCAAACGUGAGUACAAAUGUACCCAGCAAGACUUCCAUCAGAACUAACUACACAUGCAUCGGUAUCAACAAUGGGGGGUAGUGGAGUUUAACUGCAGCAAGCCAGCUUUGACUCAGUGGCUAACCUGAACUACGACUGCAAGCAACUCUUUGAGGUGGCGCACACGAGUCCACAUAUUCACCAAUCAAUACACCACUAUGGAUCCACUCCCGUCUACCUACGGGAACGCCAUCCAUAGCACUCACGCUUAUCUUGCGCAUUUUAGAGUAUCCACUUCAAGUUAUCUAUGAACUGUACAGGCAACCCAGAAGUCCUUUACCGUGGACACGGCUAUUCGAAUAGAUAAUUUAUAACCCUGUAGGGGUGUACUUCUUCACACAAGCUCUCGCCACUUACCACCAUGUACAUGUCGUGUAUCUCGGCAACCUUCAAGCGGAAGCCUGGCGAGGGAGUCGGCCACGGCCUACCUAAACACUCAAGUCUCUAGUCCAGGUUUAUCGCCAAUUCAGGUUCCAUCCGCAGGGAGUCCGGCCAAGGUUUCUACAUACGGCCCUAAACGAUGUAUGCAGGGUUCCCGAGACACCAAACGGGUGCCCCAUACACCGUGCCACCUGCCUACCGCAUCACAGCCCACCCCUCGGGUCAGCGCUGCGCAUGGCCUCCAGCAUACUACAAACACCAGAAUCUACUUGCAACUCCUGGACAGAGGACAAGGGUGGUUAAGAAGCCGAGAGGGUCCAUUGGUUUCGGGCCCAAUGCAUGGUAGUAGCUGUUCAUGGAUCACAAACACAGAACUCAGUUCCUAAGGAUGGCUGCAAUGAAACAACCCACCAUGUACUCCUACAUGGCCUCUCAUCGAUACCUUUACCAAAUCGUGUUCACACACUUAGCUCUCAAAAGUAGGACAUGUUCACACACCUCCAAUUCAUUCCCGAUGAAUCAGACCUGACUCAACUCUAAGCAGUAGCAGGCAUGACAAACAAGCAUGAAUGAGUAGGCACAUCAGGGCUCAAACAACUCCUACUCAUGCUAGUGGGUUUCAUCUAUUUACUGUGGCAAUGACAGGUCAUGCAGAGGAAAGGGGUUCAACUACCGCAACAUGUAACAGUUGAAUCGUUGUUGUCCUAAUGCAGUAAAAGAGAGCAAGAGCGAGAGAGUGGGAUUGUAUCGGAAUGAACAAGGGGGUUUUGCUUGCCUGGCACUCCUGAAGAUAGUAUAGUUCUUCAUCGGUGUCAUCAUCUCAUCGUCGGGACCACGUCUACUAAGAGGGAACGAAUGCCGGCAACAGAGAAAAAACACAAUCAAUGCAAUGCAACAAUAUGAUGCAUGAAUAUGACAUGGAAAAAUGAGUGUGUUGGGCUAAUGCAUCUACAACCAGGGGGGUUUGAGCUCAUUUGAAUCAAAGAUUCAAAUACAAACCCAAGUUAUGGGUUUAUAAAGUGCAUUAACAUGUUUUGAGCUAAACAGCAAGUUUAAGUUGCUCUAACAUGCAUGAAACCAGUACAAAUGGAUAGAUUGGAUUUUUCUGAUCAUUUUUCAUAUAUAAUUUGUCUCAUUUGGAGUUACGGUUGAUUUUAUAUGAUUUUUAGAAGUUUUGGAUAUUUUCUAAAUUAAAUAAAUCAUUUCUGAUUUAUUUAAAAUCCCAGAAAGCAAUUACAGCGUCAGCACUACGCCAUGCUGACCUCAGCAGGUCAACAGCAGCGGUCUAGGUCAAACCUGACCAGUGGGGUCCACUGGUCAGUGACACAGUGAUGUUCAGUGUCAAUGAUAGGUGGGUCCGGUCAAUGGACACGUCAGCGCGGUCAAAGCUGACACGUGGGUCCACCGUGAUUAAGUUAAAACUAGACAGGAAAUAAACCCAGGGUUAAUUAAGCAUGGGGCCCAUCCGCAAGUGAGCUAGGGGGUUAGUUAGUGGCGUCAUUAGCGCUAAUUAAGUGUGCCAUGUCAGGUGCCGGCGUUUAACCGCCGGCGACCUCAGAUCGCGGCGGCGUCCGCGUCGGGAUUGCGCUACAGGCCACGGUUUGGGGCGUGGUUGGGUUAUAUAGAGAGAUGGGGCUGAGCCGCGUGUGUGGGUGGUGGAGCUGGACCAGAUGGUCGCUGGAAUCGACGCCAGCGACGAGGUUUGCGGCGGCCGUGGUUCGGCCAUGCUCGAGUUCCUUGCUAGGGUGUUCAGGAGGAGGAGCUGGUGGUGGCUACGGGUGCGCGAAGACACGCUGAGCAUGGUGGUGUGCUCAGCUUCGAGCGACAGUGGCUCUAGCCACGACGGCGACGGGGCACGGCGGCAGCGGUGGGCAGGGGGCUAGAGGAGGGAUUCGACGGCGGGGAAAGAAGGGUUGGGAGCAGGAGCUCACAGUGAUGCCGAAUUGGGGGUCAGCGAGCUCGGGGAGGUCCUGGCGGCGCCGAAUCGACCGGAGACGGCCUCGGGUGCCCGAGGUUGAAGACGAAGGCGAAGACGGCGUUCGGCGGCAUUUGGAGUCGCGUGAGUCAACAGAGAGGCGUAGGCGACGGUGGCGGAGCCCUUGGGCAUGUCGGAGAGGUGAGGGGGAGGCUCAGGGCACGGCCGUGGUGAGCGGCAGCGACGACGGCUCUCUGUCUCGCUUGGAAACGAGAGGUAGAGAAGGGGAGGAGGUCCAGGAAGAGAGGGGAAAGUGAGAGGGGAUCGAGGGGGUCACGUGGCGACGUCCAGGGCGAGGGGGAGCAGCUGCGUGGCUAGCAGGAGGUGGCCGCGCGCCACGCGCAACGCCAGUAGGCGCGAGGAAGACGACGCGCGAGGGGCUGGGCUGGGCCUAGCAGGCCGGCUAUCUACUGGGCCGCUAGUGGGCUGCCAGGUAAGGCCGGGUGAGUCCUCUCUCUCUCUCUCUCUCUCUCUCUCUCUCUUUUUAUUUGUUUCUGUUUUCUAUUAUUCCGUAAUUUUAGGGCUUUAAUAAAAAUACCAAAACAAUCUCAAAAUUCAUGAAACUGCUCAAGGCUACUGUUUGGAAUAAUUCCAACAUUAAACAUUUUAGUUCAUGAAUAUUUGGACAUUUAAAAUAUUAUAUAGCAUUUAAAUGCCCAAAUGCAAAUAGCAUAUGAUUUAAUUCAGUGACCUUAAGAUGACCUAGAAAAUUGUGAACCAAUUUUGUCAGAGGUUCUAACCCAAGACAAAAAUGAUGAACAUUUUAGAAGGGCAUUUCUGGUUUAUUGAAAAUGAUUUUAGUAAACCCUAGUUGGUUUCAGAGGGGG
rnacentral:lncRNA from 1 species